CCUACGGGUGGCAGCAGUGGGGAAUAUUGCACAAUGGCGGGAACCCUGAUGCAGCGACGCCGCGUGAGUGAAGAAGUAUCUCGGUAUGUAAAGCUUUAUCAGCAGGGAAGAAAAUGACGGUACCUGACUAAGAAGCACCGGCCAACUACGAGCCAGCUGCCGCGGCAAGAUGUAGGGGGCAGGCGUUAUACGGAUUUACUGGGUGUAAAGGGAGCGUAGGCGGUUAUGCAAGUCUGAAGUGAAAGCUCAAGGCUCAACCAUGGGACUGCUUUGGAAACUGUAAAACUGGAGUGCAGGAGAGGUAAGCGGAAUGCGUGGUGUAGCGGUGAAAUGCGUAGAUAUUAGGAGGAACACCAGUGGCGAAGGCAGCUUACUGGACUGUAACUGACGUUGAGGCUCGAAGGCGUGGGGAGCGAACAGGAUUAGAUACCCCGGUAGUC
rnacentral:rRNA from 1 species